UUCUAUGGCCUUACCUCCAUGAACAAUCCCGAUAUCAUCUGAUCUAAGGAACUAAGCACGGUUGGGCCUGGUUAGUACUUGGAUGAGAGAAUUAUAGCAAACAAGAAA
rnacentral:rRNA from 1 species